AGAAGGACAGGCCAGAGCUGGACCCAGUAUCACGGCUGACGAGAGCUGCAUGGGGCUGGAGAUUUCCACAGCGUAGGCCAGGCCCAGGUGACAGAGCCCUAUGGUUCCUCCACGGAGCAGCUGAGGGAAAAACGGAUGCUCAACAUCACACAGCGAGUCCCAGAGCUGGGGUUAUAACUCACCACUGCCAGCAUGCGGCCCAUAGCUCUGAUCACGAAAUGCACCUAGCAGUUCAAGAAGAGGGACUCGUUACACAGUGGCCUCCACCUGGUUGUGUUGCUGCAUCUCAGUGCUGGACUUCAAGGAAGGUAGGAUUGCCAUAUAGGCACAGAGGACCAUAGUGGUAGUAUUGCUGUAAAGGGUCUGGGGGUGAUAGUGGAUCACAAAUUGAAUUUGAGUCAACAAUGGGAUGCCGUUGUGAAAAAGGCUAAUAUUCCAGGGUGUAUUAGAAGGAGUGGCGUAUGUCAGACACAGAAGUAACUGUCCCACUCCACAAGGUACUGGUGAGACCUCAGCUGGAGUACUGGGUCCAGUUCUGGGCGUCACACUUUAGGG